rnacentral:lncRNA from 1 species
ACUCUGUGGUAUUUCCUGAAACUUGCAAUUAUUGAAAAAUCAUUUUAAAACCCUGUGUUACUUAAGUCAUUAUGGAAUGUGAGAUGGUAGAAUAUGAGAUUCUUAUUCUUGAUAUCAUUGUUGCUUGGAGAAUUUAUUUCAAAAUCUUUAAAAUCCUAGCUACCAUCCUCAGUGUUUUAUAUGCCUGAUAAACCUGAAAAUAUUAAUUAUGAUAAUUAUAAAAGCUACCUGCUCUGUAUUGAGUUUGUUCAAAAUGAGUUAGACCCUUGUUGAGAGAUUUAUCAUGCUCCUAAGAUCAAGACAUUUAUGCAGAAAGAUUCACUCUUCCGAAGUAUUAUUGCAUUAGAGGCAUGGGCUAUGCAAAAAUAAGGUUAUUUCAAGGAAAUAAAAAGGAGCAAGUGCUCGAUAACCUCGCAGAAAAAAAUGGACAAGUGUCCGACAGUAGAAUUAGGGGUACCUCGGUAUCCACUUAAAAAAAAGGAAAAGAAAGAAAAUGAUAGCCCAUGGUCCCUCUAAUAAGCAAUAUGCCAGC